CCCUUAGAUGUUCUGGGCCGCACGCGCGCUACACUGACGAUGGCAACGAGUUUUUCCUUCGCCGAAAGGUGUGGGUAAUCUUUUGAAACAUCGUCGUGCUGGGGAUAGAUCAUUGCAAUUUUUGAUCUUGAACGAGGAAUUCCUAGUAAGCGCGAGUCAUCAGCUCGCGUUGAUUACGUCCCUGCCCCUUGUACACACCGCCCGUCGCUACUACCGAUUGAAUGGUUUAGUGAGGACUCCUGAUUGGCGCCGCCGCCCCGGCAACGGAGCAGCGGACUGCCGAAAAGUUGUUCAAACUUGAUCAUUUAGAGGAAGUAAAAGUCGUAACA
rnacentral:rRNA from 1 species